rnacentral:rRNA from 1 species
CCUACGGGCGGCAGCAGUGAGGAAUAUUGGUCAAUGGACGAGAGUCUGAACCAGCCAAGUAGCGUGAAGGAUGACUGCCCUAUGGGUUGUAAACUUCUUUUAUAUGGGAAUAAAAUGUUCCACGUGUGGGAUUUUGUAUGUACCAUAUGAAUAAGGAUCGGCUAACUCCGUGCCAGCAGCCGCGGUAAUACGGAGGAUCCGAGCGUUAUCCGGAUUUAUUGGGUUUAAAGGGAGCGUAGGUGGAUUGUCAAGUCAGUUGUGAAAGUUUGCGGCUCAACCGUAAAAUUGCAGUUGAAACUGGCAGUCUUGAGUACAGUAGAGGUGGGCGGAAUUCGUGGUGUAGCGGUGAAAUGCUUAGAUAUCACGAAGAACUCCGAUUGCGAAGGCAGUUCACUGGACUGCAACUGACACUGAGGCUCGAAGGUGUGGGUAUCAAACAGGAUUAGAUACCCUAGUAGUC